CGCGCAGGCGGUCGAUCAAGUCGAGUGUGAAAGCCCCCGGCUCAACUGGGGAGGGUCAUUCGAUACUGAUCGACUCGAAGGCAGGAGAGGGUAGUGGAAUUCCCGGUGUAGUGGUGGAAUGCGUAGAUAUCGGGAGGAACACCAGUGGCGAAGGCGACUACCUGGCCUGUUCUUGACGCUGAGGCGCGAAAGCUAGGGGAGCAAACG
rnacentral:rRNA from 1 species